CACAAGGUGGUUAAGUGGGUGGACUAUUAAUCCAUUGUGCUUUGUAUGUAUGGGUUUGAAUCCCAUCCUUGUUG
rnacentral:tRNA from 1 species